CUUCCAGAGUCAGCUUUUGAGCAUUCCUUUAUGGAGCUGCAAGAACAUAAAGUCAUCACAGAGAGCCUCGUUAAAAGUGUUUAAUGAGAGCAGUGUGAUCCCACAGCCCAAGGGUCAGCAUGAGAGCAAGGACAGCCCAGAAGCCUCGUCCCACCAGAGACCCCAUUCAUCAAGGGACACACUGACUGCUGUCACCAACACCCAGACAGGCACAGGAGACAAAGCAACCCAAGAGAACUGCAGCUGGGUAUCAACGCCAGUGCGAAUUUCUCAGCCCAGAACAAGCCAAGACUCACUUCUGGCCAAAAUUCCUGCACUAAUGCUAACCACCAUCUGAUUACAUGAUUUUCCUGAGAUCCUGCUGCAAGUCGUUGUCACAGAAAGGGCUCAUGUGGGCACACUGCAGCCCUGGUUCCCUGCUGCCUACCUCUGCCUCUGGUUGGUCCGGUGCCCUGAGCAGCCCCAUCACCUGUGCUCUGCUCCCUGCUGGAAAAACAUGCUCGUUUUCAAAGGUGUGUGGCUGGAGCUGUGCUUGAGACAAGUCCGAAUGCUCUCUGCCUGGGGAGCAGGAUGGGGCUGAGGGGAAGAAAAGCAGCAGUUAAUGCACCAUGACCCACUGCUCAUCCGCCGGGCUGACAGCACACCAAGUCCUGCCUAAAUGCAAGAACCUCAGAGCAUCAGUAGGACAUCCCACCCAGCCAAAGAACCCGGAGGAAACUUCUAAGCUUGUAUGAGUCACUCAUCAUCUCAAGCAGCAUUAGAAGGAAAUUGCCUUAGGGCACUGUCAUCACCAUUUGUGAGUAUUUGUUGACAGCAAAUGUCUGUGCUACUGUUACGAACCUCAGGCUGGGCUAGGUUUGAACCUAAGAUCACCACUUUUAGCACAUAUACAUUGGCCAGCUGGGCUGAAAAAUGGAGAAUUCAGCAUCACCAGAAGCUGGCAGUUGCCUUAAAGUUAAUGUGCAUCUGCGCAUAGCCUUCGCCAGCAACAAAUGCAGAGUGAUGGGCUUAGCUUAGUUGAGAACAAAGUAUUCUUACAUCCCAAUGAACCUGAAAAGACGGAGGUGAAAAAAAAUACCAUUACUGAUCUGGAACUAGAUGUUAGCAGGGGACAAAACUGCAAAUAGAUAUGCACACACACACUUCUGCCAUUGUUACACAAUCUUUCACAGCUACCAACAAUCUGCACAUAAUCCCUGAGUCUAGUUCACGUUCCCAUGAUCUGAUGGCAUCACCAGGAGAGUGCUUAUGUAUUCCAGCCAGGGCAAGCAGCACAGACUGGAGGCUUCCCAGGCAAGAAUAAGGUUGAUGCGUGUGUCACCUAAAAGCCCCCCUUCCACAUAUCUCACUCUAAGACAUCUCCCUGAAUUUACUGCCUACAAACCAACUGGCAAGCAGACAUUACAGCUUUUCCUAAAAUUUAGGUGAGCAGCAGCAAGGAGGUGGCUGGGCCAUUGCCUCCCAGCUCUUCCUCCAGGCUGCUCAGCUCAGUCUGUGUAACCUCAUCAGCAUCCUAGCAAAAAGCUAUUUUUGCCUCCUAAACAAGCACAAGAAAAACCUUGGUUGAAGCAGAAUGGAAAAGAGCUUCACGGCUUCCCUGGAGAAGGGGAAUGCAAGAUGGUGGUUGGUAGCCAUCUAUCCCAUCUGUUGGAGCCUAGACCCAGUUUUGUCUAAAGAUCCUUGGACAAAUUUGAUGUGCUCACAAAGGGUGGCUGAGAUCCUAGCAGAGCUGAAGUUGACUUCAGACCUGGCCAGCCCAAGCAGAGGACAUUGCUGUUGUUUAAAAAUGAUACUCAUUAAGAGCAGAAGUCAGGCAAUGAUCACCUUCUGUAGUUGAUAAUACUCAAGGAGGGAGAUGGUGGAAAAAUGAAACCUUGGAAAAUAAAACUUAUUUGGCACCGCUG
rnacentral:lncRNA from 7 species